CUGAGUACGGCGGAACACGUGAAAUUCCGUCGGAAUCCGGGAGGACCAUCUCCCAAGGCUAAAUACUCCCUAGUGACCGAUAGUGAACCAGUACCGUGAGGGAAAGGUGAAAAGCACCCCGGAAGGGGAGUGAAACAGUUCCUGAAACCGUGUGCCUACAAGUAGUUAGAGCCCGUUAAUGGGUGAUAGCGUGCCUUUUGUAGAAUGAACCGGCGAGUUACGAUUUGUUGCAAGGUUAAGCGGAAAAAGCGGAGCCGUAGCGAAAGCGAGUCUGAAUAGGGCGCAUAAGUAACAGGUCGUAGACCCGAAACCAGGUGAUCUACCCAUGUCCAGGAUGAAGGUAAGGUAAUACUUACUGGAGGUCCGAACCCACGCACGUUGAAAAGUGCGGGGAUGAGGUGUGGGUAGCGGAGAAAUUCCAAUCGAACUUGGAGAUAGCUGGUUCUCUCCGAAAUAGCUUUAGGGCUAGCCUCGAGGUAAAGAGUCAUGGAGGUAGAGCACUGUUUGGACUAGGGGCCCUUCUCGGGUUACCGAAUUCAGAUAAACUCCGAAUGCCAUGUACUUAUACUCGGGAGUCAGACUGCGAGUGAUAAGAUCCGUAGUCGAAAGGGAAACAGCCCAGACCACCAGUUAAGGUCCCCAAAUAUAUGUUAAGUGGAAAAGGAUGUGGGGUUGCUUAGACAACCAGGAUGUUGGCUUAGAAGCAGCCACCAUUGAAAGAGUGCGUAAUAGCUCACUGGUCGAGUGACCCCGCGCCGAAAAUGUACCGGGGCUAAACAUAUUACCGAAACUGUGGAUGAACCUCUUUAGAGGUUCGUGGUAGGAGAGCGUUCUAAGGGCGGUGAAGUCAGACCGGAAGGACUGGUGGAGCGCUUAGAAGUGAGAAUGCCGGUAUGAGUAGCGAAAGAAGGGUGAGAAUCCCUUCCACCGAAUAUCUAAGGUUUCCUGAGGAAGGCUCGUCCGCUCAGGGUUAGUCGGGACCUAAGC
rnacentral:rRNA from 1 species